rnacentral:rRNA from 1 species
CCUACGGGAGGCAGCAGUGGGGAAUAUUGCACAAUGGGGGAAACCCUGAUGCAGCGACGCCGCGUGAAGGAAGAAGUAUUUCGGUAUGUAAACUUCUAUCAGCAGGGAAGAAAAUGACGGUACCUGACUAAGAAGCCCCGGCUAACUACGUGCCAGCAGCCGCGGUAAUACGUAGGGGGCAAGCGUUAUCCGGAUUUACUGGGUGUAAAGGGAGCGUAGGCGGUUUAGCAAGUCAGAAGUGAAAGCCCGGGGCUCAACUGCGGGACUGCUUUUGAAACUGUUGAACUGGAGUGCAGGAGAGGUAAGUGGAAGUCGUGGUGUAGCGGUGAAAUGCGUAGAUAGUAGGAGGAACACCAGGGGCGAAGGCGGCUUACUGGACUGUAAAUGACGCUGAGGCUCGAAAGCGUGGGGAGCAAACAGGAUUAGAUACCCCAGUAGUC